GAGUUUAAUCUUGGCUCAGGACGAACGCUGGCGGCGUGCUUAACACAUGCAAGUCGAGCGGUAAGGCCCCUUCGGGGGUACACGAGCGGCGAACGGGUGAGUAACACGUGAGCAACCUACCCUCAACUUUGGGAUAAGCCUCGGAAACGGGGUCUAAUACCGGAUAAUACUACGGGCCUCAUGGUUUGUGGUUGAAAGUUCUGGCGGUUGGGGAUGGGCUCGCGGCCUAUCAGCUUGUUGGUGGGGUAGUGGCCUACCAAGGCGUCGACGGGUAGCCGGCCUGAGAGGGCGACCGGCCACACUGGGACUGAGACACGGCCCAGACUCCUACGGGAGGCAGCAGUGGGGAAUAUUGCGCAAUGGACGAAAGUCUGACGCAGCAACGCCGCGUGAGGGAUGACGGCCUCGGUUGU
rnacentral:rRNA from 1 species